CAUGUCUUUUUGAUUAUAAUUUAAAGUCUGACCUGCCCUAUGAAUAAUUUGUUUUUAAAUGGCUGCGGUACUCUGACCGUGCAAAGGUAGCAUAAUAAUUAGUUUUUUAAUUGGGAACUGGUAUGAAAGGUCGAACGAGAAAAAGACUGUCUCAAUUUAAUUUAAAUUAGAAUUUUAUUUUUAAGUAAAAAAGCUUAAAUAUUCUUAAAAGACGAGAAGACCCUAUAGAGUUUUAUAUAAUUUAAUAUUUUUGAAAGUUAAAGAAUUUAAGAUUUAAUUAUUUUAAAUUAUAUUUGGUUGGGGCAAUUGAAAAAUUUAAUGAAUUUUUUUUAGAUUAAAACAUUGAUAUAUGAUUGAGUGAUCCACAUUUUGUGAUUAAAAGAUUAAAUUACCUUAGGGAUAACAGCGUAAUUUUUUUUAGAGUUCUUAUCGAAAAAAAAGUUUGCGACC
rnacentral:rRNA from 1 species